rnacentral:rRNA from 1 species
GACGAACGCUGGCGGCGUGCUUAACACAUGCAAGUCGAACGGAAAGGCCCUGCUUUUGUGGGGUGCUCGAGUGGCGAACGGGUGAGUAACACGUGAGUAACCUGCCCUUGCCUUUGGGAUAACUUCAGGAAACUGGGGCUAAUACCGGAUAGGAGCUCCUGCUGCAUGGUGGGGGUUGGAAAGUUUCGGCGGUUGGGGAUGGACUCGCGGCUUAUCAGCUUGUUGGUUGGGUGGUGGAUUACCAAGGCUUUGACCGGUAGCCGGCCUGGGAGGGUGACCGGCCACAUUGGGACUGAAAUACGGCCCAGACUCCUACGGGAGGCAGCAGUGGGGAAUAUUGCACAAUGGACGGAAGCCUGAUGCAGCAACGCCGCGUGCGGGAUGACGGCCUUCGGGUUGUAAACCGCUUUCGCCUGUGACGAAGCGUGAGCGACGGUAAUGGGUAAAGAAGCACCGGCUAACUCCGUG